rnacentral:siRNA from 1 species
UCAAGGUUUUGUUCCAAGCAGC